UGGGAAUUGAUAUUAAGGAGGGAGGGAAACAAUAUGGAUAGCAAAGUUUGGAACCAGGGCAGUGGUACGAUACAAAGCCAACAAAGGGGCUAGAACCUGCAAAUGAGGCUACAUUCCGCUAUCAAAGUUCUUUCGUAAAUUAUUUUGGGGGCACCCCUUACACCUAGUGUCUGUCCCUGAACAAAAUGGCUACUUCUUGGUGCAGUUACUCUUUCUUUCUAUUCUUUUUCUUUCCUUUUCUUUCUUUCCUUUUCCUUCUUUUCUCCUUUUUCUUUCUGCCAGCAUUAAAAAUUUUCUGGGACCAAUCGUCCCGUGGUCCACUAUAUUUUCCACCCCUGGUACUAUCGCAUGAUUUAGGGGCUGUUUAAGUGUGCCUGGUUUGCAGGGCUGACCCUGUU